ensembl:rRNA 5S_rRNA 5S ribosomal RNA
GCUUACGGCCAUACCACCCUGAACACGCCCGAUCUCGGAAAGCUAAGCAGGGUCGGGCCUGGUUAGUACUUGGAUGGGAGACCGCCUGGGAAUACCAGGUGCUGUAAGCU